CAUCCUGGCUCAGGAUGAACGCUAGCGAUAGGCUUAACACAUGCAAGUCGAGGGGCAUCGAGGGUAGCAAUACCUGUCGGCGACCGGCGCACGGGUGAGUAACGCGUAUGUAACCUGCCCGCAACAGAGGGAUAACCCGGCGAAAGUCGGACUAAUACCUCAUAAAACAGGGGUUCCGCAUGGGGCUAUUUGUUAAAGAUUUAUUGGUUGCGGAUGGGCAUGCGUACCAUUAGGUAGUUGGUGAGGUAACGGCU
rnacentral:rRNA from 1 species